rnacentral:misc_RNA from 1 species
AACCUUAUGGACCUGCGGGCGUAUACCUGCGGAAGGAUCAUUACCGAGUUUACAACUCCCAAACCCCUGUGAACAUACCUAUACGUUGCCUCGGCGGAUCAGCCCGCGCCCCGUAAAACGGGACGGCCCGCCCGAGGACCCUAAACUCUGUUUUUAGUGGAACUUCUGAGUAAAACAAACAAAUAAAUCAAAACUUUCAACAACGGAUCU